rnacentral:misc_RNA from 1 species
AAUCUUCAAAACCCAUUCUUUAAUUGGAGAAAGGGUUUUGGACUUGGAGGAUCAAUGCUUGCCCUCACUUUGAAGGCGAGCUCCUCUUAAAUAAAUUAGUGGGGUUUGCUUUGCUGAUCCUUGACGGUGAUAAGACAUCUCUACGUUUUGGAUUUGGCAACUGUCCCUUGCUUCUAACCGUCCAUUGACUUGGACAAUUUUUGACA